UAACAACAUGUGCAUUUUUCGUGUGUAGUACGAACAACAUUCAAUUAAAAUUGUAUUAACCUUUUCAAUAGAACAACUUGCUUUUACAACUUCUGUCCGUACCAAAGUUUGAAAAAGACGAACAACUUUACCUUUUGGCUGGGAAAAUAAUAUUAUACUAUGCUUCGGAUGAAAACGUAUGUUUGAGUCUGUUCAUUUCAGCAUCUUGUUCAUUGUGUGAAUGAAUGCAUGACUGUAAAUUUGUGUCAUUAAUAUUCAUACUUAGUCUACCACAACCUGUAUUCGUCUAGGGUUGUUCCAAGCUGGUAGAGUCUGGCGAACUAAAACCAACCCUGCUUCAGUUUUCACACACAACGAAUGUGGCUCUGCAAACGGUCAUUGCUAAGAUAGUGUUGGCUAUAGUUGAUUCUUAUGAAAAUAAGUAAGUAUAGAGCUACGAUUAAAUAUUGCAAUUAUGCAGACCAAAUUUUUCGGACUUGUUGUGAGGCAUCUAUUUUUCUUAAGCUCAAAUUUCUGCACCAUCAAACAUCGACAUGCACGUUGGGGAAACAAAAU